GCAGAGAAGAGCGGUGACAAGUUAAAUGAUGAAGGAUGGUGCAUGCAAGUGUGCCAUUGGCAUUGAAUCAGUCGGAAAGGAGGAUAAAGAGGAGCAUAAAUCCAAGUGCCUCGACAUUCGAAAACCUUUGCCACCAUCACACUGCCAUUAGAAGGAGGUGAAUGAAGGAUAUAGCAUUUGAUUACAGUAGAAGGAUAUAGAGCUAGGCUAUGGUUAAGAUUGUAAAUGAGUUGAGUUAGAUUGGAUCAUGAGUGACACUGAUUUGACCAGAUUUCUUUUUCAAAUCUUACUGUUGGACCCAAAUCCAAUACAAUAGAAGAUCGGGUA
rnacentral:lncRNA from 1 species